AUGAAGUCAUUGGCCAUUUGUGAUUAGCUCGGUCUCCAGCUCCUUUCCCCUCCCAGGGGUUUGGGAGGUGGGGCUGCAAGUUCUACCCUCUGAUCAAGGCCUGAUGUUCUGCCUUCACCCCGCAGCUUCCCAAGGGUUCCCAGACACCAGUCAUUUCAUAUCAUACAAACAGAACUCAUCACUCUGGAGAUUCCAGGAGUUUUAGGAGCCAUUUACCAGGAACUAGGGACAAAGAACAAAUCAAACAUCUGCUUCCUGGGGAGCUGCAGGAGGCCAUGGAGAUAAAGAGAAUGGAAAUGGAGCUGCCAGCACAACGAAGGAACACAGGUUUGAGGUGGGCUGUGCUAUGUAUGAACUUUCCUAGAAGAGAAGCUGGAGUGUGACCAUGACAUCUGCCAGUGGAAGUGGAGACAGUCACAUCCUCAUUAAGAGGGGGCUCAAACUUCAGUGUGCGUGAGAAUUACUCAGACAGCUUAUUCGGUCACAGAUGGCUGAUUCAGUAGGGCUGAACCAGACUCAGAACACUUGGUCUAUAGGAACCACAGGAGGUUAGAGAAGGGGAAAACCAGCACAGACUCUGGUGGUGGAGAAGUUCAGGUAAGUGUGUGAUUCUGCUGGUUCCUUUGCUUGAGUGUUGGCCUCACUUUAGGUGGGGCUUGGUGGAUCUUUCAGUGACUUCAGAAAGUGGAUGGAAUGAAAUGGAGCCUCAUUUGGUUUGGCAGAAGAUUGGGGUAUUUGGAUAGGUCGUGAUCAGGAUGGGAGAUGUUGUAGACCAGGGAAACCCUGUGAACAAAAUCACCACACCUGAAAUGAUCUCUGAAUGUCCUGUUCACCCUGUUGGGAAAGCUCAGCUCCAUCCAAUCACAUGGG
rnacentral:lncRNA from 1 species